rnacentral:lncRNA from 1 species
GGCCCAUAAUCAAAAAUCAAAGUACAUAUUUAGAUAAAGCAUAUCAAAUAAGCCCAAGAAUUUAAUUUUUGUUAAAAUCAAACUUAGUUUAAUUUUGGACCCUUUGGACCUUAAUGUAGACCAAUUUGAAAACUGGACCAAAAAUUAAGAAUCUACAUACACAGUUAGAUUUGGCAUAUCAAAGAACCCCAAUUAUUCAAUUUUUGAUGAAAUCAAACAAAG